rnacentral:lncRNA from 1 species
UCGAGUCGACUCCUGAGGAAUUCGAGUCGACUCCGAUGCUUGUCGAGUCAACUCCAGAGUAGAACGAGUCGACUCCAAGGUGUAACAGACAGAAAAACAGAGAAGCGAUCUUCGACCCUGAGAUUCGAGUCGACUCCUGAGGAAUGCGAGUCGACUCCGAUGGUUGGCAGGUCGACUCCAAAGAAAGCGAGAGUCGACUCUCAGUGGAACACAAAGAAAAACUCAGAGAAGCAGUUUUUGGACACUGAGAUUCGAGUCGACUCC